rnacentral:rRNA from 1 species
UACGUAGGUGGCGAGCGUUGUUCGGAAUUACUGGGCGUAAAGCGCACGUAGGCGGCUUUGUAAGUUAGAGGUGAAAGCCCGGGGCUCAACUCCGGAAUUGCCUUUAAGACUGCAUCGCUUGAACGUCGGAGAGGUAAGUGGAAUUCCGAGUGUAGAGGUGAAAUUCGUAGAUAUUCGGAAGAACACCAGUGGCGAAGGCGACUUACUGGACGACUGUUGACGCUGAGGUGCGAAAGCGUGGGGAGCAAACAGG